GACGAACGCUGGCGGCGUGCCUAAUACAUGCAAGUCGAACGCUGCUUUCCUCCUGAGGGCUUGCACUCAAUUGGCAAACGGAGUGGCGGACGGGUGGGAAACACGUGGGUAACCUAGCAUACCGAGGGGAAUGGCACUCGAAUACAGGAUCUAAACUCGCAUACGCGUGUAUGCUGCAGGACAGGAGAGUGAUGGUCGCGUUCGGGCGUCGUUCCUAGAUGCACGCGCGGUGCGUGAGCGAGUUGGUGGGGUAACGGCUUUCCAAGGCCACGAUGCAUAGCCGGCCUGCGAGGGUGAUCGGGCACACGGGGACUGAGACACGGCCCAGCCUCCUACGGGAGGCAGCAGUAGGGAAUUGUCGACAAUGGCCGAAAGUCUGACAGAGCAACGCCGCGUGGGUGAAGAAGGGUUUCGGAUCGUAAAACUCUGUUCUUAGAGAAGAACAAGGCAGUCAGUAACUGUACUUCCCGUGACGGUAUCUAAUCAGAAAGCCACGGCUAACUACGUG
rnacentral:rRNA from 1 species